rnacentral:lncRNA from 1 species
UGGGGUCUUCCUUGUUCCUCCAAAGCCUGCGAUGUGGAGGGGCAAGGACCCUGGCCUGCGUGUCUCCCCUGGGACUGAGGGGCACACGCGGUAAGCCCGGCCAUGCUGUCCACCAGGAGGCCUUGGUCUAUAAGUGUGAGCCACACACAGAGGGGCUGCGACCCGGCUGAAACGAGGCUCCCACGGCCCCCGGGAGUGUUCAGGGCCCAGUGCUGUGUGUGCAGGCAGCCUCGCCCCACUCCCUGUGUGUUCGCUCCUGCGGGCAGCAUGGGGAAGCAGAGUGACCCAGCCGAGGGUCUAGGCCGUCCCCGUGGCAUGGCCCCUGCUCUGGGCCUCUGCCGUGGUGUUUGGACACUUCCUGUUUGCCUCCUCCCAGCGCGGUCGGUCUGGACGUCUCACCUUCGGUGCGCAGGACACGGCAGAGCCUCCUGGGUGAGCGGGGAAGCAGAGUGUGGGAUCCCGCUGGCAGGACAAGCCCCGUGGCUCCCUGCCUCCGGGCUCGGGGCUUCUCAGGACAGGCCUCCUGGGGCUGCCUCAGCAAGGAUGCUGGACGGGGUAGAGAUGUUACUGAUGCCGGAGAGAUCUUCCAUCCACUGGCUCACUCCCCAGAGACCCACAGCAGCUGGGGUUGGCCCAGCCAAACCCAGCAACCUGAACUCCACCCGGGUCUCCCAGGGAGUGGCUGGGACCCAAGUGCCUGAGUCAUCGCGCAGCCUCCCAAGCGUGCGUCGGCGGAAGCUGAGUCUGGAGCAGAGCCGGACUCACACCCGGCGCUCCAGUGUGGAAUGGAGGCGUCUGUCACCGUGUCUCCAACACUGCGCAAGUGCGCCACACUGGUGGACAGAAGCAACAGAGGCCACGUCUCUGUAGGACGCCCAGACCGAGGCACUGACAGCACCAGCCCUCUGUCCUCCCAGCCCUCACAGACGCCGAGCGCCCUGGCUCCCCCGGCGUGUGCCAUGGCUCUCUGCCCGCUAUCUGCUGUCAUGGGGCUGUCUCUCCUCUCUGUCUGCAUCCGUGUGUCCUGACAAAUGG